AAGUGGUUGGAGAGACAGUUUACUGGUCUCUCUUGGGGGUUGGCAGCUACCAAAGAAGCUGGAGGUGGCUGAUCUGUGCUUCUGUGGACAUCUUUGGAUCAUCUUACAAGCAGCCCUCUGAAGCAAGUGGAUAGGAGGUUUUCAAUACACUUAGGUGGAUUAAGGGACAAUAUUGGAAGCUCCAGUCAUUCUCUGGACCAUCUAGGACCCCUCAUCUGGACUUCAGCCUCUACUUGCCAAAAGACUCUAUAUGUAAAGCUCCAAAUGAGAUCACAAAAAGCUGGAUAUGACUGAAAUGGCUGAGCUACAACAAAGUUGCAGGUAUGUGGAGCAACAUUCUUCAAAGGAAGAAAGAACAUGUAAAUAAGAUAAAUUGAAGAGUAAGGUGGUAUUUGAGAAGUCUUGGAGGAAAGAAGAAUCAUUGGUGACUCAGAAAACAAAAACUGAGAACCUGGAAGGCUAAUAACUAGAGAAAGCCCAAAUCUGAAAAAGGUCUGGAGAGAUUCAACAAAACUGUGGGCAAGACUUGACUUCCCCUGGACAAAGGAAAGGAACCUGAGCCUGAUGAGUACAUGUGAAAGUAGCACAUAUAGGAUCUCUCUCCCAACCUGUAUUGUACAGGCAGGUCUUCAGACUUUUUCGAUAUCCUAUCCUCACAGGACUGUGCUAAUCUGCAUGGAUGUUUUAAAAUGAUUGUAAACAAGCAUAAUGGCAAGAACACUGGCAAAUACACUGCUUUAGUCCUCUUCAAUCUGUCGACUGCUUUAUAGGACCAGUUCCACAAACAAAUCAAUGACACUCUGCCUGCUCUGCCAGAUGUUUUGUAAUAGAUCUUGGUUACAUCACCAUUCAGGAUCUUACACCCCAAAUUUAAUACUAAACCUACAAUGAAGACAAGUCUCAUCUCUCAAAAGUAUUAAAUCUGUUGUAUUUCUUAUAUUAUAUAAACAUUUUAAUUCCUGGAUGCAUUUCCUUUUCUGUCACAAUAUAAUUCAUAAAAGCAUAAUGUUGGCUGUUUAUAAUUUUAUCCACAGAGGGAAAGGGGUGAGUUAGAGUUGCCAAAACAAAAAUUACUGUUACUUUUCAGUUAGAAGAUAAUUGGCAAGAGGCCUAAAACUUUCACAAGUAUCUGCAAUGGAGCCAUGUGAAAUUUCAAAACUUGGCAUUAAACAGAGUGCAGGAAAUUGUUUCUCAGACUCACAAAUCCCAAGAUCCAAAAUAAUAUUAAAAUAUGAACAUCACUAAAAUAUUCCUAGGAGUAUGAUAAGAGUUGACAUUUCUAUUACAUUUGCCUAAUAAUAGACUAGAGAGGUUAUACAGUACAGUGUCUAGAGAGCCGGCCUUGAAUCAGGAAGACCAAAGUUCAAAUUUGACACAUAUUAGUAGUGUGAACAGAAGAAUCCAUUUAACCCUUCAAUGUCCCUAAGAAAUUCUCUAAGACUAAAGUACUUGGAACAGGUUAAAGUUUCUGUUCCAAUCAGCUUUGGAAUCAGGUCUAUGAGUGACUGCUGCACAUCCAUUAGCACAGAUAUAAUAAUAAGAUAGAGACCCAAUCUCAAAAAAAAAAAAGAUUGUAAAGUAUCUAUUACUUGCUAAUUUCUAUCAGCAAAGUGAAUUUCCAAAGCAGAAGUUCCUUACUCUGAUAAAAUCACAUGCUUGAACUGAAAGGAAAAUAAACAAAUUAUAAAUGAAUCUGGAGAGCGUUUUAAAUAUGAAACAGGCUGGCAAUCCAUAGACUUUAUAUGUUGUGUCUUUGGGAACCAAUUUUCAAAAAUUCUUAUAUUUUGGAAAAAAGACUUGCUUUUACAUGAGGUCUGAAUAAAGACAAAGCUUUUUCCCUAAGUGCUUCGUGAAUCAGCGGAACUAGCCAUUACAAAUCUAGAUUAGUCCUCAGCAGUGCUCAGUGAUCAUUCUCUCACUAUCAAAAAAUGCAGCUAGGUGGCAUAGGUCGAGAGAGCUUGAUUUAGAGUCAGGAAGAAGCCAGAAUCCUGUUUUAAACACUGGGUACCUGCAAGAGCCUCAGCAAAUCAUGUAAUCACUCUUAGUCUUAGUUUUUUGCAUGUAUGUAGCGGCAGUUACCUUACUAAGUUGAUGGGAGGAUCAAAUGAGACUGAUGUCUACAAAGAAAUUUGCAAACCCUAAAGUGCUAUAUAAAUUUAU